rnacentral:lncRNA from 1 species
UUUGGUCUCUUUAGUUGGACUCCGGUGCUAUUUUCCUCAGUAUAUUUGAUGGUCUACCACAGGGGUCCCCAACCCCUGAGCCACAGACCAGUGUGAGUCCGUGGCCUGUUAGGAACUGGCCUGCACAGCAGGUGAGCAGCAGUUGAGUGAGCGAAACUCCAUCUAUGUUUACAGCUGCUCCCCGUUGCUCACAUUACCACCUGAGCUCUGCCUCCUGUCGGAUUAGCAGCCUUGUUAGAUUCUCAUAUGGGAGCAUGAACCCAAUUGUGAAUUCCGCGUGUGUGGGAUCUAGGUUGCACACCCCUUGUAAGAAUCUAAUGCCUGAUGAUCUGAGGUGGAACAGUUUCAUCCUGAAACCAUACCCCCGUCCCAAUCUGCGGAAAAAUUGUCUUCCAUGAAACCAACCGGUCCCUGGUGCCAAAAAGGUUGGGGACCACUGGCUUACAAGAUACUCUAUUCCCAUCUUUAGUUCUCUUGCCCCAAACAUAGAAUUAACUACUCUACUAGCUGUGUUUGUUCUUUUGGUGUAAAAAAAUGAUUUGAAUUCAAAACAUGGGGUUCUGUCAAAAUAGCACAGUGAAUUUGUGAAUUGAUCAUGUCUCUGCUCCAAAUAAAGAAACAAACUACAAGAAGAGAAAAAAACAAAAGAACUGGUUCAAAAACAAGAUAAAGAAUUCCACACGCCAGAAACACAGCAAAAGCGCAAAACGUGGGACGAGAAUGAAGCUGUGGGCUUGUUGCAUGUGGGGCCUGGCAAUCGGGCUGAGAGUUCAGCUGCUGUGGGCUGAAGGGGUCUGAAUAAACUCCAGCAUAUUAGGCACCAAAUUAAGAAAGAAAACCCCACUGUAUCCUAUUCUUGAUUACUCUAGUGAGUUCUUGUUCCUAUCUGUGUUAGUGAUUACUGGAAAGGGUGUUCUGAUCCAGACUCCAAGAGAGGGUUCUCGGAUCUCAUGUGAGAAAGAAUUCAGGGCGGGUCCACAGAGUAAAGUGCAAGCAAGUUUAUGAGAGAAGUAAAGAAACAAAAGAAUGGCUAUUCCACAGACAGAGCAGCACUGAGUGCUGCUGCUUGGCUAUUUUUAGGGUUAUUUCUUGAUUAAAUGCUAAAUAUGGGGUGGAUUAUUCAUGAGUUUUCCAGGAAAGGGGUGGGGAUUUCCCUUCUUUUCUAUCAUGUAAGGUCACUUCUGGACAUUUUUAUGGCCCUUGUAAGCUGUCACAUGCUGGUAGAAGUGUCUUUUAGUAUGCGAAUGUAAUACAAUUGGCGUUUAACGAGCAGUGUGGCGAAUGUAAUACAAUUGGCGUACAAUGAGGUCACUUUGGUUGCCAUCUUGGUUUUGGUGGGCUUUGGCUGGCUUCUUCACUGCAAUCUGUUUUAUCAGCACGGUCUUUAUGACCUGUAUUUUGUGAUACCAGUCUUUGAGACGGUCUCAUUAUGUUGCCCAGGUUGGUCUCAAACUCCUGGCCUCAAGGGAUCCUCCCGCCUUGGCCUUCCAAAAUGCUAGGAUUACAGGUGUGAGCCACUGCGCCUGAUUUGAACGUUUGGAUUUUAUAGUCAAGGUCUGCUGACUCUCUGUCAUUGGUCCACACUGGUUAAAAUCUGGAAUGUCUGUGUGUGGGGUACAUGAGAAGUAGCCUGAGUGGUAAAUGUUGACUGUUAUCCUGUCCCUGCACUCCAUAUGUGGUACUCACCCCUAAGCAUCAGCUUUCUGCCAAGGGCACAGGAUGCCUCUUGAUAAAUAUUAUAUGGCAGAGAAGAGUGCAGGAGAAAGGGUCUACUUUGGAUAGGAUUUUAGGGAAAGCAACUCAAAAGAGGUGUUUCAGCCUAAUGACCUGAAAGGUAAGAAGGAGCCAGAAGGCCGGGUGCAGUGUCUCACGCCUGUCAUCCAAGCACUUUGGGAGGCUGAGGCGCAGGAGAAUCACUUGAACCUGGGAGGGGGAGGUUGCAGUGAGCGGAGGUUGUGCCACUGUACUCCAGCCUGGGCAACAGAGUGAGACGCCGUCUCAAAACAAACAAAAACAAGUGGAGUAGUUAAGCAACCGCAUACAGAGGAGUUGGACACCCACCUCCCCUCCCAGACCCCAGCUCCUGCCCAUUCUCCAACUGCCGCAGACCAGAAGUGUAUUCAGGCCCAAGGCUUGGGGACUUGAGGGACAACAGAAGGCUAGGGAGGUGCAGAGCUGAAAAUCGGCAGAUAGAUAGAAGUCUUGAAACUUGAAGUGGAGGCUGAGUGCGGUGGCUCACACCUGUAAUCCUAGCACUUGGGAGUCUAAGGUGGGGAGACUAGCCUGGGUAACAUAGCAAGACACUUGUCUCUACAAAAAAUUAGCCAGGCGUGGUGGCGCACGUCUGUAGUUCCAUCUACUUGAGAGGCUGAGGUGGGAGGAUCGCUUGAGCCUGGGAGGUCAAGCUGCAGGGAGCUAUGAUCAUACCACUGCACCCUCAGUGACAGAGUGAGACCCUGUCUCUCAAAUAAAAAUAAAAAACUUGAAGUGGAUGAAAAGAUCUAAUAUGAAAGGUGAAAAUAUAAAGCUAAUGAUGUGUAAGUAUGAGAAUAGAUUUGGGACUUUAAGCUGGGGAAGGACUUCUUAAAUAUGAUUCACAAAGCACUAACCAUAGGGGAGAAUGGAUAGAUUUGUCUACAUCAAAAUAGAGGAUUUCUGUUCCACGAAGCUCCCCACAGAUAAAGUAACAGACAGAUGGGACUGACUGAAGAGAGUUGCCACACAAAACCGAAACAGGAGUUGUUUCCUGAAUAUUCAAGGGAUGUCUGCAAAUACGUCAUGACGACAAACAGCCCUGAAAUCUCAAUGGCUGAACCCAAGUUUUAUUCCAGCUAACAUCAAAUUGAAUGCAAGGCAAGUGUUUCUCUAGGACAUCUCUGCUCUCUAAAGGGACUCAGCAGUCAGGCUGCACCCUGUGUGACUUGCCAUCUCAACAUGUCCCUCCUCUAUCGCCCAGGCGAGAGAGACAGGAGAGGGUUUUCACUGUCUCAGUCUCACUCUCUCAUCAGGCUGGAGUGCAGUGGCCCGAUCUCGGCUCACUGCAUCCUCUAACUCCCUGGUUCAAGCAAUUCUCCUGCCUCAGCCUCCCAAGGAGCUGGGAUUCCAGGCAUGCACCACCACUCCCAGCUAAUUUUUGUAUUUUUAGUAGAGACGGGGUUUCACCAUGUUGGCCAGGCUGGUCUCUCUCCUGACCUUGUGAUCCACCCACCCUUGCCUCCCAGAGUGCUGGGAUUACAGGCGUGAGGCACUGCUUUUCAUUGUCCAGAACUCAUCUCGUGGCCUUCUCUGGAGCAAAGGGGUGGCAAGUGUAGUCUGCAGUAUGUCCAGGAAAGAGGAAUGUGGAACAGGAUUUGGGAACACAUAGUACUGUUGCUGCCACCAGCAGUUACAAGCUAUGAACUGAAUGAAUCUAUACAUACAGCCAUGAAGACAUGUCUUUAAAACAUAGUUUUGAGUUUUAAAAAAAGGUAGGAAAGAAUGAGAUUAAAGGGAAACUUAUAGAAAUUAAAACACAUGCACAUAGAACAUUAUGCUGCAUGGGCUGGGUACGGUGGCUCACGCCUGUAAUCCCAGCACUUUGGGAGGCUGAGGUGGGCGGAUCACCUGAGGUCAGGAGUUCAAGGACAUUAUGCUGCAUGUUCUUCGCGGAUCCAUCCAUAUCUAAGGACAUUUAUUAAACACAUUGAAGUGGCUAUAGCUUAUGUGUGUGGGAAGGAAGGGUGGUUAGAAUGAUAGAGGAAAUCAGGUAAAAAAAAUCAAAGGACACGUUUGAUGAUGGUGAUGAUGAUGAUGGCAGUCAUGAACUGAGGAGUGAGAUUCAUGCCACUCUACAUUUGAGGUUCUUUCUCCAGCCAUGUAACUCUGGCAAUGGAGUAGAAUAGGGAGGAGGGGGAAGGUGAGAACGUAGGUAGAAAGAGCUGUUGGGCAACUGUAGCAAUAAAACAGAAAAGAGAUGAAUGUUUGCACAUAGGCAGGGGCAGCAGGAAUGCAGAAGGGCAGGUGUCAGAGAGCGUCCACGUGGUAGGACCCACAGGACCAGGUGGCUGAAUGCAGAGGCUGAGGCUGAGCAGGGCGGCCAGUAUGGCUCCUGUGUUCUGAUGGCGUGUAGUGGCGUGACCAGCCAGGGUCUGCUCCCCAGGCACUUAAACUGUGAGUCCAUUAAUCCUCUUUUUCUUUAUAAAUUACCCAGUCUUGGGUGUGUCUUUAUCAGCAGUGUGAAAACGGACUAAUACAUAAGGGCUCAGAAGGGCCAACUGGAUGGGCAAAGAAGCCAUUGGUGACUUUAGUGAGAGCGACUUUAGUGGAAUGGUGGGGGGGCAAAAGCCAGAUUGCAGAUGAUUAAGGAAACAGUUGGAAGACAAGGAAGGCAACAGACAUAGAUUAGCCAUUUGCUGAAGGUUAACUGGGAAAAGAAGGAUGGAGGAAGGCUAUACCGGGGGCUGCAGAGUGCAGAUGUGCAUGUGUAAUAUGGGAGGGAGCUGAGGGUUUAUAUGCUGAGGGGUAAAAGGUGGGAUGGAGUCAGGAUUGAAAAUGAGGAAGAGAGGCCAGGUGCAGUAGCUCACGCCUGUAAUCUCAGCACUUUGGGAGGCCGAGGCGGGCAGAUGACAAGGUCAGGAGUUUGAGACCAGCCUGACCAACAUGGUGAAACCCCAUCUCUACUAAAAAUACAAAAAUUAGCCAGGUGUGGUGGCACACGCCUAUAAUCCUAGCUACUCAGGAGGCUGAGGUGGGAGAAUCACUUGAACCUGGGAGGCGGAGGUUGCAGUGAGCCAAGAUCAUGCCAUUGCACUCCAGUCUGGGUGACAGAAAAAAUUAGCUGGGCAUGGUGGCAGGCACCUAUAAUCCCAGCUACUCGAGAGGCUGAGGCAGGAGAAUCGCUUGAACCUAGGAGGCAAAGGUUUUAGUGAGCCGAGAUCACGCCACUGCACUCCAGCCUGGGUGACAGAGCAAGACUCGGUCUAAAAAAAAAAAAAAAAUGAAAACAAAGAAAAUGAAGAAGAUAGGGGCUCUACAUGAACCAAGGAUCCUAGCUGGUUAUUUUGAUUAAAAGAUGACUCAAAUGAUGUUAACACUGAUCAGACUUUAGCACGAGAGCUGCAGAGAAGGAAGACACUAUGAUGAGAAUAUAUUUGGGGUUUUGAGCUGGGAAAAGACUUCUUAAAUAUGAUCCAGAAAGUACUGGCCAUAAGGAAAAAAUGUUAACAGAUUUGUCUGCACCAAAAUCUACCAAGAGAGUCCUUUCAACUAGAACUGCCGUCACCACAAUGAUGAACAUGGGGAAAGAGGAGAGGUACCUGCUGUAUAUUCUCAGGCCUUUUAGAACACAUGGAGUUGUUCCUCUGGCCACAU